rnacentral:rRNA from 1 species
AUGGCGGAGACGGUGCUGAGCAUGGCGAGGUCCAUGCUGGGCGGUGCCAUUAGCAAGGCCGCCUCUGCCGCCGCCGCCGAGAUCAGCCUCCUCAUGGGUGUGCGCAAGGAUAUCUGGUUCAUCAAAGACGAGCUUGCGACCAUGCAGGCUUUCCUGGUGGCCGCAGAAGCAAUGAAAGAGAAAGACAUGCUACUGAAGGUGUGGGCAGAGCAAGUAAGGGACCUGUCAUACAAUAUUGAAGAUUGCCUUGGUGAAUUCAUGGUGCAUGUGGCAAGUCAAAGCUUGUCAAGGAAGCUGAUAAAGCUCAAAGAUCGCCAUCGAAUCGCAAUACAAAUUCGUGAUCUCAAAUCAAGGGUUGAAGAAGUGAGCAACAGGAACACACGAUACAACCUGAUUGAGACGAACCAAUUCACCAGAGACACGGAUGAGAGGGAUUCUUGCAUGGAAGAUAUUCGCAACCAAUCAGCCAACAACAUUAAUGAAGCUGAAUUAGUGGGGUUUUCCAAGCCAAAGCAAGAGUUGAUUAAUCUCAUAGAUGUCCAUGCCACAAAUAGCCCUGCUCAGGUAGUGUGUGUUAUCGGCAUGGGUGGUUUGGGUAAGACUACUCUUACAAGGAAGGUUUAUGAAAGUAUAAAAAGCUUUUCUUGUUGUGCUUGGAUUACUGUCUCUCAAUCAUUUGUCAGGACGGAGUUUCUUAAAGUUAUGAUCAAAGAACUUUUUGGCAGUGAAGCAUUGAAGAAGCAGCUCGAAGAGAAUGUUGGGAGUGAAGUGAAUCUCGCCAACUGUCUUAGAGAAAAGCUACUUGAGAAGAGGUAUUUUGUUGUUCUUGAUGAUUUGUGGAACAUAGAUGAUUGGAGUUGGAUGAAAAGUGUUGUUUUUCCUAGUAUUAACAACAAAGGUAGCCGAAUAGUGGUAACAACACGAGAUCUUGGCUUAGCUGAGAACUGCACUUUGGGAUCUUCUAGGCCACUUAUCUACCGCCAUGAACCCCUAGAAACAAAUGAUGCCAUAAAUCUGCUAUUAAGGAAGAGUAGGAAAAGUGAGGAAGAAAUGAAAAAAGAUUGGAACAUGAGGAAAAUAGUCACUAAGAUAGUCAAAAAGUCUGGACAGUUACCACUAGCUAUACUCACAAUAGGAGGCAUGCUUGCCACUAGAGUGGUUGAUGAGUGGGUAAGUAUUUAUGACCAGCUCCCCUCAGAGCUAGAGAGAAAUCGGAGCCUUGAAGCAAUGAGGAGGAUGGUUAUCUUGAGUUACAACCACCUGCCUUCUCAUCUUAAGUCAUGUUUUCUAUAUUUAAGCUUAUUUCCUGAGGAUUUUGAAAUCAAAAGGAGGCGUCUGGUGGAAAGAUGGAUAGCCGAGGGGUUUAUUAUUGCCAGGCAUGGGGUGAGUGUUGAGGAUGUUGGGAAUAGUUACUUUAAUGACCUAAUCAACCGAAGCUUGAUUCAGCCAUCAAGAGUGAACAUGGAAGGAAUUGUCAAGAGUUGUCGAGUUCAUGAUAUUGUUCGGGAUGUUAUGAUCUCAAUUUGUAGAGAUGAAAAUUUUGCGUGGUCUACAUCGGAUAAUGUAACCCACAUAGUAGGGGAUAACUUCCAUCAUAUAGCACUGCAAGGCAGUUGGUGUCCAAAUGAAGGCUUGGAUUGGAACCAUGUCCGUUCAUUGACGGUGUUUGGCAAGAAACCCAUGAAGCCAGCACCUUCACUAUGUUAG